rnacentral:rRNA from 1 species
GACGAACGCUGGCGGCGUGCCUAACACAUGCAAGUCGAACGGAAAGGUCAUGCUUUUGUGCGGUGGUCGUGUGGCGAAGGGGUGAGUAACACGUGAGUAACAUCUACCUGACCGAGGGGUAUCUUUAGGAAACACGGGCUCUUAUCGCAUAGGAUCUAUUGCUGCAUGGUGGGCGCUGGUAAGAUUCGGUGGUUGGGGAUGGACUGGCUGCUUAUCGGCUUGUUGGUGGGGUAGGGGCUGACCAAGGUUAUGAAGGGUAGCAGACCUGGGAGGCCAGCCGGCCACAUUAGGACUGAGAUACGGCGCAGACUCCAACGGGACGCAACGGUGGAGAGUAUUACACAGUAAGCGGGAGCCAGAUGCGGCAACGCCGCGUGCGGGAUGACGGGCUUCGGGUUGUGAACCACUUUGGCCUGAGACGAGGCGUGAGUGACGGUAAUGGGUAAAGAAGCACCGGCUAACUACGUG